GAACACGAAUCAUUCUCUUGAAUCCUCUUAUGUGUCUUUAGGAAGCCUCUGCUCAGAAACCAGAAGAAUCGAUGCUGAACUCGACCAAAUGCUCAAGGUCAAUCAGGUUUCUGAGCUCUGUUUUCUUUUCAUGCUUCUUUAGAUUCUAGGGUUUCUUCUUUUGAGUUGUUGUUAUUAUUUUUGACCAUAAACUCAUAUUUAACUGAAUCAAAUUUAAGAAUUCUUGAUUUUGAAUAAGAACUCUAAAGUUUCAAAUACUAAAUUUAUGAAUUCUUGAUAUACAAAAUGACUGAUGAUAAAAAAACACUAACAGUUCUUGAAUGCCAUGUUCCAUACACUGUUUCUUACAUGUUUUGGAUGAGAAAACAAAAUGUAGACAACUGUCAAAGCAUCUAGUGAGCUGUGGACUAAAAAAUAUCAGCGACCAGCUUCGAUGUCCAACCUUGCUACAUUCUUGAUGCUGUCAUAGCCAGUGCUACUGGUUUCGCCUUGUGCUGAUAAGAUUUCAACACCGAGCAAGUGUUCAAACUCCAUUGGCUCAGGAUACUGAUCCGACCACUGAUGUUUGGUUUUUGUGGCUAUCAAGCCUUCAAGAACUGCAGCGACUUCCUUCAUCCUUGGCCUUUCCUCUCCCGUCAAUCUUGUACAUUCAACAGCAACUCUUGCAGCUUCCUGGAUCUCCCUCUGAUUAUCCUCGUUCAUCACUUGCUCAUCGAUAAUCUCAUGCAAUCUAUUCUCUCUUUUGGCACAAGUAAAGUAACUCACCAGAUGUUUUGAAUGCUGUGGCCUUUCAAAGCACAAUGCCUUUUGACCUGAGAGAAGCUCCAUGAGGACUACCCCAAAGCUGUAAACGUCACUCUUUUCGUUUAGCAGCCCCGUGUUGUAGUACUCUGGGUCUAAGUAGCCUAGGGUUCCUUGCACCAUAGUUGUGAGCUCCUCUUUAUCCCUCGGUAUCAGCCUUGAAGCACCAAAGUCGGCUACUUUUGCAGUUAAAUUUUCAUCCAGCAGAAUGUUAGCAGUCUUGACAUCGCGGUGGAUGAUUGGAAUAGAAGCAGAGGAGUGAAGAUAUGCGAGAGUUCCAGCGACUUCUAUUGCUAUCCUCAGGCGGUGUUCCCAUGUAAGAGAAGCAUCAAACAAGGAACUGUGCAAGUGAUCAAAAAGGGUCCCACUGGUGAUGAACUCAUAGACCAAAAAAGGAACUUCAGUCUCUAGACAACAGCCCAAGAGCUUGACCACGUUCCUAUGGUUGAUUUGUGAAAGCACUAGGACUUCGUUGAUGAACUGCUCGACUUGGCUACGGUCUCCAAGCAGAGCCUUCUUUAUAGCAACUAUGGAGUUGUCUGGUAAUAUACCUUUGUAAACUGUUCCUUGGCCUCCCUGGCCCAGGAUUCUGCUCUCGUCAUAACCAUUGGUUGCUGUCUUCAUGCCUUCCUCAGUAAAGAUUUGGACAUUAACAUUUGAUGACCCUUCUCUUGAGAGUCUCUGUAUCAACAUCCCACCACCGUUUUGCUGGAAGAAUUGUUGUCGGAGUUUGGUGUCCUUCUGGUGCUUCAUCUUUUGUUGUAUACAGCUAACGACAAGCAGGAUGGCCAAGAAGCCGAUAGUGGUUCCUGGUCACAUCACACACAGAUGAUUAUAGUGAGUUUUAUUUUCCUGCAGAAAAGAAAGAAUCCAGAACGAGUGAGGGAAGCUUACCAAGAAAAAUCCGAGUCCAUCCAUAGUAUUCAGGCCUCCCUUUACGAGUGCAGCUAUUGGUCGUGGAAUUUAAGUUGUAACCAGAUGGGCAAUUACAAAGGAAGUUUCCUAUCGUGUUUUCACAGGUGCUGGAACCUGAACAGUUAUGUCUAUGGAUAGUACUAGUAGUAUUACACUCAUUGAUGUCUGGCAAAACGAAACAGAGCGCAAGAUUCAGCAAGGAAUGUAGUAUUAGAAAAACAAUGAACUCUCAAAAGAAGAAAGAAGGCAAAAGAAAAACAAUGUAAAGUACCUUGGCAACCGUUUUCGUUUGAAAGGUAAGGAUUCCCAUCAAACCCUUUCUUACAUUUGCAGAUAUAUCCGGUUCCACGAACAGAAUCGGAACAAACGCUAUUCCCACGGCAUAUGCUUGCGUUUCCAGCUUGCUCGCAUGACUCUUUACCAAUAGACCAAUCCAAAACCACAGGGAACCUCGUGAUAUUCCGCAGAUUCAUAAGAUCUUCUGUAGAACUGAAGUUAAACACACCGUCUUCGACUAGAAAGGCGUAGCUGCAAGGGUUGAAGCUAUGCACAGAGGUAUGGUUGGAAAAGCUAUAUGGGCUGACUCUGAAGUAAUUGCUCCCUCUAGGUACAGAAGUCUGGCAGCAACCUCCACCAGAACAUGAUCCGUUUGUCUCUCUGGGAGAAUUACAUGUUGACAUGCAUCCAGUUGAGUAAUUCCCAACGCCGUUUGUGUUGAGAAACGCGUAAGUGUUACAUCCUACUGCAGUAAACCUGUUCUUGUCGGAGAAUGUUAAAUUUCCCAGCCUCGACCACCGGUUUUGGCGGCUGAUCUGAUUCCCUUGAAUGUUGUAGCAAACGUAGGAUCUGGUAUUCAAGACGCGUAGCUCGCCACUGAGAGAGAUGUUGAUCACUUCAUUGCCGCCAAAGAUCAGCUUGUUUGUUUCGUUACAGGUGAUUUUGAAGCUGUUAUCUCCGGGAUAGUAACAACCUGGAGAGAUUCCAAAAGGGUACUCGACUGUGAUGUUGCCGCAUCUAUCUGUGCAACCAGGCAAUGAUUUCCCUUUGAUCAGCUGACUAUAUGCAAGUGAGAACAUUGCCACAAAGAACAGACCCUGCACCUUGUUCAUCUUCUCUCUCUCUUCUUUCUUGGGUUUUCUCUCAUGUCCUUGAGGUGUGUUUUCUUAUAUGAGAUAAACCUCAAGUCAGUCUUACGAUGUUUCUCUUUUUACUUGUUUCCGCAGACACUUUUCCAAUCCAGCUACACAAACAGGACCAUGUCAAUAUAUGUAAUGCAAGGAGGAAGUUCUAGUACGCUCAAUAUCCCAACAAGUUCACGUUUGACAGUGAAUUUUUGUUUUGUUUUUUGAAUUCAAAGAUUACGACGGUUGGUAGUUGCAAGGAAUUUUCAAAAUGUGAAUAAAUGUUAAAUAUUC
rnacentral:lncRNA from 1 species